AUGGACGGUUUGCGCGAUAACUCACGCCCGCCUUUUCACGGCAUCGACAGCCCCUCGCCGUCCGAAUUCCGCGUGAGUUCCAACCGGCGACGGCGCCGCUCCGCGUCUCCACGCCCUUGGCCGCAACGCUCCGCUGACACUUCGCAUGCACCGUACCGGCGGCCGAGCCCGUCACCGCGCAGAGAGCGGCACCGCGAGCACCACCACCGGCGUGAGCGCAGCCGCAGCCCUCGCCUCGAGUCGGCACGCAAAGCUGGUUCGCCAUCUGCCAAGUGGUCUCGGUUCGAAGCCGGCUCUUCGUCUUCGAGCGUGCUGGCUCCGCCUCUGAUGGAUGAUGGCAGCACGACCCCUGACUGCCCUGACAGUCCCAUAUACUGUUACGAGGAUGAUCAAAGGAUAAGAUUUGGGCAAUACGGCGUCUCUGAUGGUUCAGGGAUCACUGACAGGGAACCAGACGGCAAACAGGAAGAUCAUUCAUAUAAUGCCCUGGUAGAUGACUUUAUGGGUGCUGUGGUGGAGAACUGGGGUGAGCCAGCCAACUUCGAUCAAGCCGCGCGUGAAGAGCGUUACCAAAAGCAGACGAAGAGAUUUGCUGAGUUAGCUCUGAAAUGUUACAACAAAAACAAAAACAAUAAGGUUAAGUAUUCACUUGUUGAGGCAAUAGAUGGAGCAAUAUUUUAUGAGCGAUCUUACGAUUACGCCCAUGUGAACUUCUAUGCUAAUGCUAAGAAUGGCCCAAAGAAGAACAAUCCUAAAGUGCUUGUUUUUGCUGAGCUCAAACAUGUUGGACGGCGAGUUAACGCAAUGGCUCUAACGUCUUUCCAUUUUCUUGAUGAGAAGAAACAAACCACUGGACGUCGUGAUGUUGCGCGGAGCUCGCGCGUGAUUUGGGAUAUAUAUCAUUGCUAUGUUUGUACCAAUGAUAUCAAGCACCCCGAGGGAUCAAGCACACAGAGAGAGGAGCGAGCCAGUCAAGGCCGUCAUGGAUGCGUGACAACGAAGCCCGCGCUUGCCGCCUUGGCACCGCCUGUCCUCGUCGUCCUCGCCGCCUGUGGCGCUCGUCGCCCCGGCCAUGGCGCCACCCACGCUUGUCGCCCCAGCCGCCCGCCGGCAAGGGCGCUGCCCGUGCUUCGUCGCCUUGGCAAUGGCGCCGCUUCGCGCUCGUCGCCCCGUCCAUCCAUGCUCGUCGUUCUGGCUGCCCGCACUCCCCGGAGAUCCCCGAGCUGA
rnacentral:rRNA from 1 species